rnacentral:rRNA from 1 species
AAUGAACGCUGGCGGCAGGCCUAACACAUGCAAGUCGAGCGGGGUUUUCGGACCUAGCGGCGGACGGGUGAGUAAUGCGUAGGAAGCUACCCGAUAGAGGGGGAUACAAGUUGGAAACGACUGUUAAUACCGCAUAAUGUCUACGGACCAAAGUGUGGGACCUUCGGGCCACAUGCUAUCGGAUGCGCCUACGUGGGAUUAGCUAGUUGGUGAGGUAAUGGCUCACCAAGGCGACGAUCCCUAGCUGGUUUGAGAGGAUGAUCAGCCACACUGGAGCUGAGAAACGGUUCAGACUCCUACGGGAGGCAGCAGUGGGGAAUAUUGGACAAUGGGCGCAAGCCUGAUCCAGCCAUGCCGCGUGUGUGAAGAAGGCCUUCGGGUUGUAAAGCACUUUAAGUAGGGAGGAAGCGUUGUGUGUUAAUAGUACACAGCGUUGACGUUACCUACAGAAGAAGCACCGGCUAACUCUGUGCCAGCCGCCACCGUAACAC